AAUGACUUUAAAGACUCAAGUUUCAAGUGUAGCAAUAAUUCAAAACUGGAAGUGAUUAUUCAGGAUAUCAGCAAUGUUAUAAAGCUCUGCAUGAAACAGAUUCCUCAGUGGAGAGUCCAUACUGAAUGUGUGCUCUCCUUCACCCCUCCCUGCACUAUGAGGAAGGAUGAGUACUCUUACAAGAUCAGCUUAAAGGUGAAGCAUAAUUCAUCAGGCUUGUCAUUGGACUAUGUCUGAAACAUUUUUGAAUUUGAGAUGAGGAACUUAACCCACCCUAGAUACACAGUGUUUG
rnacentral:lncRNA from 1 species